UUGUAAUUGUAUUAUUUUUUCAUCUGCUUUGUUUCCUAUAUGCUUAACACUGUUUUUUCUCCAAGUGCUCAAUGGAUCUGGCCAAAAUCUUUCAACAUUUUCAGGCUACUUGUCUGACUCAUUUUUAUUUCUUCCUGGAAAACUUUCCAUCCAGAGCACUGCAUCCUUCUGCUGUAAUACCAACUGGCUGUUCCAUAGGCCAGAUGAAUUUCUCUUCUCCUGGGACAUCUCUCUGUCUCUUCCAUAGUAGGUUCCCUGUUUCCUCCAUCUAUGACUUCCUCUUUCUUAUCAGUUUCCUUUGCUGGAGCAUAACCAUGAGAAGUACAUUUUUUGAGCCCCUGUAUGAGUCUUUAGUUUAUAGAGUUCUAUUUCCAAAAGCAUUUUUCCUCAGAAUUCUGAAGGCCUUUCUUCACAGUCUUUUAGCUUUCAGUGUUGCUAGAGAGAAGACUUUCCAUUUCUGAUACUUUACAUAUUUGGCUUACUUUUUUCUCUUUCCAGAAGCUUCUAGGGUAUGAUAUGUUUGGAAGUGAAUCUUAAUCCAUUAUACCCUUUCAAUCUGGAGAUUGCGUCAUUUCGUUCUUGGAAAGUUCCAUUUCCCCUUUCUCUGUCCUUUCUUUCUGGAACUCUUAUUGUCAAAAAUUGGACAUCCUUGAUUUAGCUUCAAAUUUUCUUAUCUUUCACUCCUAUUUUCUAUUUUUGUCUUUUUAUCCUACUUCCUUAGACUUUAUCUUCUACUUUAUUGAAUUUUUCAUUUUGGUGCUCAAAUUUUUAAUUUUCAAGGAGACUUGCUUGUUCUGUCCCUUUUUCAUAACAUCUUGUUCUUUCAUGGACCUUUAACUAACUCUCUAAGAAUACUAAAUACCAAUAUUAAGCAUUAAAAAAGGUUGCUUUUUUCUCAACAUUAUCUUUUUUUCAUUCAUAUUCUGUUUCAUGUUUUUCUUGUUGUUUGCAUUGCCUCUCAUUUAUCUAGUAAUUUAUUUAUUUAUUUGAGAUGGAGUCUUGCUCUGUCACCCAGGCUGGAGUGCAGUGGUACGAUCUCAGCUCACUGCAACUUCCACCUCCCAGGUUCAAGUGAUUCUUCUGCCUCAGCCUCUGUAGUAGCUGGGGUUACAGGCACCUGCCACCAUGCCUGGCUAAUUUUUGUAUUUUUAGUAGAGAUGGGGUUUCACCAUGUUGGUCAGGCUGGGCUUGAACUCCUGACCUCAGGCGAUUCGCCUGCCUCGGCCUCCCAAAGUGCUGGAUUUUCACGCCACCGUACCAAGCUACCUCUCUUUCGUAUUAGAGCCUUUCUUCAAAUGCCUGCUGACCUUUGGUUGUCCAUUCAUAAAUUGACUAAUUAGUCCAUUAAAAAGUCGACUGAAAGCUCUGUGUUUGUGGAUGUGGCUU
rnacentral:lncRNA from 1 species